rnacentral:lncRNA from 1 species
AACGCUUCAAUCGCCACUGCAGUCAAAAUCAGCCCAGAUUUCCCGAACAGACAUACACACGCCGUGUCAAACCGUGUCACCACCAACGUUUAUAACCUACGUCCUCUCCAUCACACACCCCACGACACCUCCAGUUCUCUACAGAUAAGCUUCAUAUGUCUGCCUAGGCCGUGCCACCAGAGAUGCCAUGCGCAUCCGCCGGGGCACAGCGGUUCUCCCUCCUCCAGCAUGCCGCAUCGCUUCCGCUUCUCCAGCUGCCGCUUACGU